CCCUUAGAUGUCCGGGGCCGCACGCGCGCUACACUGAAGGAAUCAGCGUGGCUUUCUCCCUGACCCGAAAGGGUUGGGAAACCCGUUGAAUCUCCUUCGUGAUAGGGAUUGGGGCUUGAAAUUGUUCCCCAUGAACGAGGAAUUCCCAGUAAGCGCGAGUAAUAAGCUCGCGUUGAUUACGUCCCUGCCCUUUGUACACACCGCCCGUCGCUACUACCGAUUGAACGGUUUAGUGAGGGCCUCGGAUUGGUCUCGGCCCGCUCUUUACCGGGCGGCGCCGUUGGUCGAGAAGACGCUCGAACUUGAUCGUUUAGAGGAAGUAAAAGUCGUAACA
rnacentral:rRNA from 1 species